rnacentral:rRNA from 1 species
CAAUAUGAAGGUCAGGCUGAAGACCUUACCCGAUUAGCUGAGAGGUGGUGCAUGGCCGUCGUCAGUUCGUACUGUGAAGCAUCCUGUUAAGUCAGGCAACGAGCGAGACCCACGUCCACAGUUGCCAGCAUACCCGUCCGGGGUGAUGGGUACACUGUGGAGACCGCCGCUGCUAAAGCGGAGGAAGGAGUGGGCAACGGUAGGUCAGUAUGCCCCGAAUCUCCCGGGCUACACGCGGGCUACAAUGGUUGGUACAAUGGGCAUCUACCCCGAAAGGGGAAGGAAAUCUCUUAAAGCCAAUCGUAGUUCGGAUUGAGGGCUGCAACUCGCCCUCAUGAAGCUGGAAUCCGUAGUAAUCGCGUUUCAACAGAACGCGGUGAAUACGUCCCUGCUCCUU